GCGCCCGUAGCUCAGGGGAUAGAGUAUUGGCCUCCGAAGCCAAGGGUCGCUGGUUCGAUUCCAGCCGGGCGCGCCA
rnacentral:tRNA from 2 species